rnacentral:rRNA from 1 species
CACUAUCGUUAACUGAAUACAUAGGUUAACGAGGCGAACCGGGGGAACUGAAACAUCUAAGUACCCCGAGGAAAAGAAAUCAACCGAGAUUCCCCCAGUAGCGGCGAGCGAACGGGGAGCAGCCCAGAGUCUGAAUCAGCUUGUGUGUUAGUGGAACGGUCUGGAAAGUCCGACGGUACAGGGUGAUAGUCCCGUACACCAAAAUGCACAGGUUGUGAACUCGAAGAGUAGGGCGGGACACGUGGUAUCCUGUCUGAAUAUGGGGGGACCAUCCUCCAAGGCUAAAUACUCCUGACUGACCGAUAGUGAACCAGUACCGUGAGGGAAAGGCGAAAAGAACCCCGGCGAGGGGAGUGAAAAAGAACCUGAAACCGUGUACGUACAAGCAGUGGGAGCACCUUCGGGUGUGACUGCGUACCUUUUGUAUAAUGGGUCAGCGACUUAUAUUCUGUAGCAAGGUUAACCGUAUAGGGGAGCCGCAGGGAAACCGAGUCUUAACUGGGCGUUAAGUUGCAGGGUAUAGACCCGAAACCCGGUGAUCUAGCCAUGGGCAGGUUGAAGGUUGGGUAACACUAACUGGAGGACCGAACCGACUAAUGUUGAAAAAUUAGCGGAUGACUUGUGGCUGGGGGUGAAAGGCCAAUCAAACCGGGAGAUAGCUGGUUCUCCCCGAAAGCUAUUUAGGUAGCGCCUCGUGAAUUCAUCUUCGGGGGUAGAGCACUGUUUCGGCUAGGGGGUCAUCCCGACUUACCAACCCGAUGCAAACUACGAAUACCGAAGAAUGUUAUCACGGGAGACACACGGCGGGUGCUAACGUCCGUCGUGAAGAGGGAAACAACCCAGACCGCCAGCUAAGGUCCCAAAGUCAUGGUUAAGUGGGAAACGAUGUGGGAAGGCACAGACAGCCAGGAUGUUGGCUUAGAAGCAGCCAUCAUUUAAAGAAAGCGUAAUAGCUCACUGGUCGAGUCGGCCUGCGCGGAAGAUGUAACGGGGCUAAACCAUGCACCGAAGCUGCGGCAGCGACACUAUGUGUUGUUGGGUAGGGGAGCGUUCUGUAAGCCUGCGAAGGUGACCUGUGAGGGUUGCUGGAGGUAUCAGAAGUGCGAAUGCUGACAUAAGUAACGAUAAAGCGGGUGAAAAGCCCGCUCGCCGGAAGACCAAGGGUUCCUGUCCAACGUUAAUCGGGGCAGGGUGAGUCGACCCCUAAGGCGAGGCCGAAAGGCGUAGUCGAUGGGAAACAGGUUAAUAUUCCUGUACUUGGUGUUACUGCGAAGGGGGGACGGAGAAGGCUAUGUUAGCCGGGCGACGGUUGUCCCGGUUUAAGCAUGUAGGCUG